UUUAUCGGAGAGUUUGAUCCUGGCUCAGGACGAACGCUGGCGGCGUGCCUAAUACAUGCAAGUCGAGCGGACAGAUGGGAGCUUGCUCCCUGAUGUUAGCGGCGGACGGGUGAGUAACACGUGGGUAACCUGCCUGUAAGACUGGGAUAACUCCGGGAAACCGGGGCUAAUACCGGAUGGUUGUUUGAACCGCAUGGUUCAGACAUAAAAGGUGGCUUCGGCUAUCACUUACAGAUGGACCCGCGGCGCAUUAGCUAGUUGGUGAGGUAACGGCUCACCAAGGCGACGAUGCGUAGCCGACCUGAGAGGGUGAUCGGCCACACUGGGACUGAGACACGGCCCAGACUCCUACGGGAGGCAGC
rnacentral:rRNA from 1 species